UGCCUAAAACCAAUGGAUUGAUUGCUUUUAUAUUAAUUAGAUUCGUAAUCUCUGUUAUUGCUUCCACAAACAAAAAAACCCCAAAUUGCAACCUUUAAAUUCAUUCUAAUAUUGUUAAACCGAUCGUGAGUCCUUGCGAAACGACCAAGGUCACUACCUUGUACUACUUAUUUUAAAAUUAUUUUGAUCACGAAACGACGGUGAUCAAC
rnacentral:lncRNA from 1 species